CUCAUCCCUUCCUCCUCUAUCAAUCUGGUGAGAAAUUGAGCUGAUCCGGCGUCUGUUAGAGGUUGAAGAAAGUUAGAACAGAGGGAGGGUGACUGCAAGGUCGAAGAAGAAGCAUAGGCCGAAGAGCUUCUCUGGUCUGGCAGUGUGAGCAAGACAGAUCAACCACAACAGCAACCUCGGCGGAACCUACGACCCCAACGGACGACACGGCGGCGAGCAGAGAAGGAGGCAACGAUAGGCGACGAUGGCGAGGAGAGAAGGAUGCAAUGGCUUCCUGAAGAACGAAGACAGAGGCGAGUCGCAGUAGGAAGCUCAUUACCGCGCGUUUCACCCAACGGUCUAUUUUCUGGCUUCAGUUGGAACGAGCUUUUCUCUUCAACGCUCUUCUCAAAAAGUUUUUAUCCAAACACAAUUUUUACUAUCCUAAUGGACCUUUGGCACCCCAACUGAGGUUAUCCAAACACACACUUGGUCGAUUCGCCGUCGGACGCUGUCCACCGUUGUCAGGCUCGCGUAGUUCUUCUCGGGAAAGGAUUCAAAAAGGGCUUUGUCUACUCCCAAAAUCCGGUGAGAUUGUCUUGUUGUGCAAUGUUGGAUUUGUUGUGUAUUGGCAUUUUGUGUAUUAAUCUCUUCAUGUGAUCAUCAAUUUAGAAAAUUUUCAAGUUAUUUGUGUUGCAUGAUCUGGUAAAUGACUUGGAUCGACUUGUCUCUAAAAAUUUCGAAGCUUGAGUUUAAGUUAUCAUGCCUCAGUGGCUUGAAGGAGUUGCCCGAAUCAAUUGCUUACUAAGGCAUCGUCGUCAAGUAUCUGGAACAGAAAUUAAAAAGUUUUAGAUAUUAUUCUAUCACAUAUCCUGGCGGAACUGAGUUGAUAGUUAAGCAUGACAAAGGGAAAGAGGAAAACAGUAAAUGUGGAUGAUGGUGUGGACGAUUGUUGGCGAUGGUUAAUUCAGAGAGAACCCGCGGCUAUAUUUGCUACUGUGGCAGUGUUUGCACUUUUGGUUCGCGCAGCUGUGUCACUCCAUCCUUAUUCUGGCGCUGGACACCCUCCAAAGUAUGGGGACUAUGAGGCACAGAGACAUUGGAUGGAGAUUACCCUUAACCUUCCAGUUAGGGAGUGGUACCGCAAUAGCACCACCAAUGAUUUGAGCUACUGGGGACUUGACUACCCGCCGCUUACUGCCUACCAAAGUUUCAUCCACGGCCUCUUUCUCAGAUUUUUCCACCCUGAUUCAGUUUCUCUAUUUAGUUCCAGAGGUCAUGAGUCCUAUCUUGGAAAACUACUCAUGAGGUGGACAGUUUUAUCUUCCGAUGCCCUUAUAUUCUUCCCAUCUAUCAUAUACUUCAUUAUUGUUUAUUACAAUCAACCUUCAAGAUGCCAUAAACGUGACAUUUGGUGGCACACAGCCUUGCUUUUACUAAAUCCAUGUUUGAUCUUAAUUGAUCACGGUCAUUUUCAGUUCAACUGCAUUAGCUUGGGGCUCAGUACUGGAGCUGUUGCUGCUAUCCUCUCUGGACAAUAUCUUUUUGCCUGUGUUCUGUAUUGUCUAGCCAUAAAUCAUAAACAGAUGAGUAUAUACUUCGCUCCUGCUUUUUUCAGCCAUCUCCUGGGUAAAUGCCUAAGGCGUAAAUAUCCACUCUUAGAGGUGGCAAAACUGGGGCUGGUUGUUUUAGGAACCUUUGCAGCUGUGUGGUGGCCAUAUCUGUAUUCAAUGGAAUCCAUUUUGGAGGUUCUUUCUCGUCUUGCUCCUUUUGAGAGGGGGAUAUAUGAGGAUUAUGUUGCCAAUUUUUGGUGCACCUCUUCAAUUCUGAUCAAGUGGAAGAAAUUGUUUACAACACAAUCGCUGAAACUUCUCAGCUUCACGGCUACAGUGUUAGCUUGUCUUCCUUCAAUGACUCAACAAAUAAAAUCUCCUAGCAACCAAGGCUUCCUUUACGGGCUACUAACUAGUUCAAUCUCAUUUUACCUAUUCUCUUUCCAAGUGCACGAGAAGUCCAUUUUGCUGCCCCUUCUGCCUGCAAGCCUUCUUGCUGUGGAAGAGCCUUUUCUGUUCAGAUGGUUCAUGCAAUUUGCCAUGUUCUCCAUGUUCCCUCUGAUAUGCCGCGACGGACUUGUUCUCGCAUAUUUGGCUUCAUUUGCAUUAUUUAUCCUCAUAUUCUUUGCACCAGGUCAGAACAGAAAUGAAGAGAGUAGUUACUAUUUCAGCACAAGGAUCAUGCGUCUGAUCUUAAAUGUUCUGUGUUUUAUUCUUCAUGUUGUUUACUUGGUCAUGCGCCCUCCAGAGAAGUAUCCUUUCCUCUUUGAAGCGCUAACUAUGAAUCUCUGCUUCUCUCAGUUUGUGCUUGUAGCACUUUGUACAAAUUUAAAGCAAUGGAUGUGGGAUAAUCAUGUCAAAUUGGAAUGAAUAGAAUAGAAAAAGAAGCUCAUUUGAUACUUCCCUGUUGGAUAUUUGGACCCAGAGAUGACGCCAUUUUAUGCGUAUUAGCUAUGGCUCAUAACCCUGUCAUGUUUUAUUUGGACUCUGGAAAACACAGUAAAAGUUGAUGUUAUGGUUCAGAUGCUGAAGAUGUUAAUCAUAAGCACGAGUCGCAAUUACCUUACUUAUAUACCCAUAUAUAACAUAACUUGUGAAUAAUCCGACUCGCCGUAUAGACUUUGUGCAAGGCACAGCACACAAUCUGGAAUAUUGUUUACCUUAAUUUUUAGUGAUGUAAUAUUUUGAACUUAGGGUUUCUGAUUUGACAAUCAAGGAUUUACUAUUCCUAAACGGAGAAUUCAGGGCUAAAA